CCUCCCAAAGUGCUGGGAUUACAGGAGUGAACCACCGCGCCCGGCCGUGCUUAUGCAUAUUCUUAAAUGGAAAAAGCAAGGGACUGCGAAAACUAGGAAAUGCACAACAGUAAAAGGAAUAAUGCGAGUCAUUUCUCAGUUCCCUAGAACAGCAAUGAUCAGGGUUGCAAUAGAAGAUCGAUGGCAUCGUCUAGGACUUCCCACA